GGAUGAACGCUGGCGGCGUGCCUAAUACAUGCAAGUCGAGCGAACAGACGAGGAGCUUGCUCCUCUGACGUUAGCGGCGGACGGGUGAGUAACACGUGGAUAACCUACCUAUAAGACUGGGAUAACUUCGGGAAACCGGAGCUAAUACCGGAUAAUAUAUUGUACCGCAUGGUUCAAUAGUGAAAGACGGUUUUGCUGUCACUUAUAGAUGGAUCCGCGCCGCAUUAGCUAGUUGGUAAGGUAACGGCUUACCAAGGCAACGAUGCGUAGCCGACCUGAGAGGGUGAUCGGCCACACUGGAACUGAGACACGGUCCAGACUCCUACGGGAGGCAGCAGUAGGGAAUCUUCCGCAAUGGGCGAAAGCCUGACGGAGCAACGCCGCGUGAGUGAUGAAGGUCUUCGGAUCGUAAAACUCUGUUAUUAGGGAAGAACAAAUGUGUAAGUAACUAUGCACGUCUUGACGGUACCUAAUCAGAAAGCCACGGCUAACUACGUG
rnacentral:rRNA from 1 species